CAUAAUCACUUGUUCUUUAAAUGGGGACUUGUAUCAACGGCACCACGAGGGUUAGACUGUCUCCUUUUUCAAAUCAGUGAAAUUAAUCUCCCCGUGAAGAAGCGGGGAUACUCAUAUAAGACGAGAAGACCCCAUGGAGCUUCAAACCCAACUACACCCCUAGCUCUUAUAGCCCCACAACCCCCCUAGGCGCCGUGUGCUUGGUUUUAGGUUGGGGCGACCGCGGAGUACAAUAAAACCUCCACAAUGAAUGGGAACACCCCCUUAUCUGAGGGCCACACCCCCUAAGAAUUAGAACACUAACAUAAAAUGAUCCAUUACUUGAUCAAUGAACCAAGUUACCCUGGGGAUAACAGCGCAAUCCAUUUCAAGAGCCCCUAUCGACAAAUGGGUUUACGACCUCGAUGUUGGAUCA
rnacentral:rRNA from 1 species